rnacentral:piRNA from 1 species
GUAGAGGUUAAGUGUGAAGGGUUUUC